rnacentral:rRNA from 1 species
AGAGUUUGAUCAUGGCUCAGGACGAACGCUGACGGUGUGCUUUAGACAUGCAAGUCGAACGAGAAAGCCCUUCGGGGUGAGUACAGUGGCGAACGGGUGAGUAACACGUGGGUAACCUGCCCCUCGCAGGGGGACAACCGGGGGAAACUCCGGCUAAUACCCCGUACGCUUGUUGGAUCGCAUGGUCCGGCAAGGAAAGGUAGCUUCGGCCAUCCGGCGAGGGAUGGGCCCGCGUUGCAUUAGCUAGUUGGUGGGGUAACGGCUUACCAAGGCGACGAUGCGUAGCUGGUCUGAGAGGAUGAUCAGCCACACUGGGACUGAGACACGGCCCAGACUCCUACGGGAGGCAGCAGCCAGGAAUCUUGGGCAAUGGGCGAAAGCCUGACCCAGCAACACCGUGUGGGCGAUGAAGGCCUUAGGGUCGUAAAGCCCUGUUGAUAGGGACGAAGGGCGAAGGGUUAAUAGCCCCUAGCUUGACGGUACCUUUCGAGGAAGCCCCGGCUAACUACGUGCCAGCAGCCGCGGUAAUACGUAGGGGGCGAGCGUUGUCCGGAAUUAUUGGGCGUAAAGAGCGUGUAGGCGGUUCGGUAAGUCUGCUGUGAAAUCCUGGGGCUCAACCCUGGGCGUGCAGCGGAUACUGCCGGGCUAGAGGGUGGUAGAGGCGAGUGGAAUUCCGAGUGUAGCGGUGAAAUGCGCAGAUAUUCGGAGGAACACCAGUAGCGAAGGCGGCUCGCUGGGCCACACCUGACGCUGAGACGCGAAAGCGUGGGGAGCGAACAGGAUUAGAUACCCCGGUAGUCC